AGCCCAGGCUGGCCUGGAACUCAAGAGAUCGCCUGCCUCUGCCUCCCAAGCACAGAGAUUAAAGGUGUGUGCCGCCACACCUAGCUCAAUAUUUAGAUUAAAUACCUGAUUGUUCAGGACAUACGGAAUACAGGCUGGAUGCAGUCAGAGACUCCCACAAAGAACGAACAGGCCUAGCCUGUUCUGCAAGCCUGUGAUCCAAGCUGCUUGGGAAGCUGGGGCAGGAGGAUCUCGAAUUUAAGGCCAGCCAGGGCAAAAUGGCUAGCUAUACCUAUCUUAAAAGGUAAAUAAAACCGGGUGGUGGUGGCACACGCCUUUAAUCCCAGCACUCGGGAGGCAGAGCCAGGUGGAUCUCUGAGUUCGAGGCCUGCCUGGGCUACAGAGUGAGAUCCAGGACAGGCACCAAAACUACACAGAGAAAUCCUGUCUGGAAAAACAAAAACAAAACAAAACAAAAAGGUAAAUAAAGAGGUCUAGAGAUAGAGCUCAGUGGUAGUGUGCCUGCCUCUGCCCCACCACCUUUAACUUGAAUCCCUAGCACAGCAGUUGUGAGUCUCGACCAAUGGGGGGAGAGGGUUUAAUGACUCUUUCACAGGGGUCACCUAAGACCUUUGGAAGACACAUACUGCAUUAUGACUCAUAACAGUAGCAAAAUGUCAGUUAUGAAGUAGCAAUGAAAAUAACCGCAUGGUUGGCGUCAGCACAGCAUGAGGAGCUGUAUGAAAGGGUCGCAGCGUUAGCAAGGUUGACCACCACUGCCCUAGUACCACAAAACAGAGCUAACAAAACUUGGGACUGGAGUGAGGAGGGGAAAUGGAAGAAGCAGGGAGCCUGAGGAGGCCAGAAGAGGGUGAGGGAUCCCUUUGAGCUGGAGGUGCAAGCAGUUGGGAGCAACCUGACAGGGUGUUGGGACCAAACUUGGGUCCCCUGGAAGAGCAGUGAGUACUCAAUCAAGUACACCUCUCCAGCUCUAUUCCUGAUUUUGUAGAUGAAGAAGUUCAUAAUAGAGGUUGAAUAACAGAUAAGUGCUUCAAAUUACAGCCCACUCUUAGGAGUUCAUCAGCCAUGGCUCUCAUGCGGGUCCAUUUUGUCAGGAGGUAUUAAAGAACUGUACUAUUGUAAACAUGCUCAGAGGUCUUGUUCUUACAACAGUGAAACUUUUUUUUUUUAAACUGUUCCACACCUUCCCACCCAUUUUGUUUAUAGAGGCCGGGUUAUAGCUGGGUACCGCAGGCUAGCCCCUCCUGUCUCGGCUGGGAUCACCAUGCUCUGCCCCUGCCCCCCUCUUCUUCCAGUUGCAGGAGUACUUGAAAGGAUACAGUCACCCCUUCACUGUCUUUUCUCACGUGCUCCUCUCUAGAAGAGCUAGAAUCGCCGUCGCUGUGACAUUCACAGAUGAAGAAACCCGAUCUACAGUCCUCGCUCAGAAAAAGUGAAGAGGAACGUGACAGUCUGGCCUCUUGAUUCAGAAUUUCUCGACUCUAGCCAACCCUGUUUGUCCCUCAGCUUUGUUUCUGUCGUGACUUCUCCCCAGUCACUCUACAGAAGCGCAUCAGUGUCACCAACUGUGUUAGUCAGGGUGAAUAUACAUUAUUAACGUAGAAAGCGUAGGUAUACAUACACGUAUAUAUACAGGUACACAUGAAGGGGACUUCAUUAGAAUGGCUUACAGGCUGUGGUCCAGCUCGUCCAUCCAUGGCGGUCUCCAACAGAAAGGCCCAGAAUUCAGUAGCUGGAUGUCUCAGCAGUCCCGAUCUGGUGCUGGAGUACCUGGGAAUUCCCAGAGAGCUGCUGGUCUUCCGUGGGUUCUACGACCGUAGAAGGAAUGUCUCAGCCACAGGAUACAUUAGCUCACUAGCAAGACUGAAGGCAAGCAGGCAGAAAAGCGAACACCUCCUUCUUCCAAGUCCUUUUAUGAGGGCUGCCACCCAAAGGUGUGGUCCAGAUUUUGGGUGGGUCUUCGAAACCUCAGAGGAUCCAAUCAGGAAAAUCCACCACCACCCCUCCCCACCCCCCCAGGCUGCUUGGGUUUUAGCUGAUUCCACAUUAGCCCAGUUGACAACCAAGGUGAGUAUCACACCAACUCAAUGGCCAGUUUUCUUAAUUUAUACGUUUCUUUCAACUGCUCUAUCAACUAUUUCUUUUACCCUUGAAAGUCUCUUUACUCAUUAUUUCUGGCACCGUGAUUUUAGGUUCCUUUGCCUUCUGCACUCUGUCUUCUUCAGACACACUCCUAAUUCAUUUGCUCUUCUUGGUGUAUGUGUGCCCCUUCAGUAGCUACCCAUUUCCACACUUCCACACUUGAUGCUUGGCUGGUUCCUACAGUUAGUUCUAUACAUUUUGGUUUUAUGUUUUGUGAGACGACAUCUCACUUGGUAGUAUAGGCUGCCCUAGAACUCUCUGUGUAGCCUUUGUGGGCAGGCCCUGCGUCCAUGGGAUUUGAUGGGGCUUUGGGAAGGUCAUUAGAGCGUAAGGGUGAAGCUCCCUCGUGAUACACAAAAGCUGCGUGUCCUCCCACCACUGGAGCUUAGGAGAAAACUGCUCUGAGCUGGAUUUUAGGCGGUGGUGGUGCACACCUUUUCUCUCAGCACUCCAGAGGCAGAGGCAGGGGGAUCUCUGUGAGUUCAAAGCCAGCCUAGCCUACAGAAUGAGUUCCAGGACAGUCAGGGCUACACAGAGAAACCCUGUCUUGAAAAACCGAAAAAGACAAAGGCUUCUGCAUGCCGUUCCCCCGUGACACUGGAUCUGAUAAUACCUCCAUCUUGGAUUUGCAGACUCUUCGGGGUAUGUUUGUUAUUUAACCCUCUCAGCCCACAGCCGUGUGUGAUGGCAGCCCACAAGGACUAAGGCAAUGUCUCAAACCUACCCUGUCUUCUUCAUACAAUGUAUUUUCAUGUAGUGCUGGUUGGUAAUUCUCUCUGUGAACGUCUCAGCACAUCACAGUGCCCUUACAGUCAUUCUUUCUGUUGGGACUAAAACUUUUUUUUCUUCUUCUUUGAGACAGGGCUUCAUUCACAGACAGGGAAACUGAGGUGGGCUGGAAUUUACAGGGUUAUGCUCAUAAACUUCUGUGCUUUCAAGUUAGUCAAUCAAGUAACCCUGGAGGGAGGACCACCACUCUAUUUUGAUGGUAGUCCAUGACCGUGCCUUUUGAGGUGAGCCCCACACAGGUGACGCCCCAUUCUUCUGGUAGAAAUGUUUAUCAAAUGCUGGAUGGCUCAGAAUCUGUACCAAACGUGUCUUGAGUUUGGAUGGGCUUAGACGAGAAGAAGCAAGUGCUUAUCGCGGUAUUUGGGUUAGCUACCCGUGGAAAGAUUAGAAGAACAUAGGGGAACGUGAACACUUCCGUGUCCGUGGUGCUCUCUGGUCCUCACUUCCGCUCCUUGGCAGGCAGAGUAGGUGUCAGCAGGUGUGUUUCUCAUGUGAUGGAACUCAGGCUCCGCAAGGUCAAGUCAUUUUUUCUCCCCUAAAAAUCUCACAGAUCACGAGUGAGCAACGGGGUUAGUAAUUAGAUCAGUAAUCUAAUCCAAUCCUCCUGGCUCCAGAUCAGUAAGCUUUCCUCGGUGGUGAACCCCAUCCCUGCAGGCUGAAUUUUGCUGUUUCCCUGGCAACCAGGUAGAACAUUGAGUACCUGGAAACCAUGACAUUGUCUUCUCUGUGAGUCGCCAGGCUUAAAUGAGGUCAUCACCAGUCCCAUGUUUUUUUGUGUGUGUGCUUCCUUUUAAGGUCUAUGAGGUUGGUGGCUUGGUCGCCCAAACCUGAUUGGUUCCUGAUGGGCUUUUUGGCACAUACAGCAAGUGCACUGCCAUUUCUGGUCAUGGUCCAGCCAUCCUGUUUGUCUUGGUCCUGGGAAGUGGGCAUAAAACAAGAAACCCUGAGACAGAACAGUGGUCUGAAGGGAGGCUUUCCCCCUUGGUCUUCAUUCUCCACCUCUUUUGUUAUAGCGAUUUGCCACCGAGCUGCUGUUGUGGGGGUAACUAUCAGGCACAGGUAGUUAGAAGGUGUGCCUUUGUAUUGGCUUCCAGUGGCAGGCAGCCAUUAUCAAUGGGUCUGUAACCCAUGGCUAUCCAUAGGAGUCGGGUCAACUCUAAGGACACAGGUGUGCUCAAACCAUUUGAGAUUUUGCCAGCAGGUGGCACUUAUUCCCUGCUCUUACCAAAUAUGGUCUGUUUAUUUAUUACUGCUUUGUUUAGCUAGGCUUAAGCACUUCUUCCCUACUGUAGUGGGCUAGCCCACAAUAUCUGGUUAUACAUUGCAAUACGUUUAUACUCUUCUCCCACAGUGGAUUUGAAAUGGUUUACAUAUUCAGUAUAUAAUAGUAAAAUUUGGAAGGAAGGGGACUAUCUCCGUGAGGAACAUCCGAUUUUAUUAAGGUCUGUUUGUAGACAGGGAUAAUAUGGUUUCAUUGUGUCUUUUCCGAAUAUUUAUUUUUGGGACAGGGUCUUGCUGUGCACUCCUGAACUCAAUAGAUCAACAAAGACAGACCUCCAGCUUAUGGCCCUCAGUUCUGGAAUGCUUGGUCUGCAGUGUGGGCCACCCCGCUCCAUCCUCGGGUCUUUGGAUGAACGGGAAGGAGGGGACAGAUGGCUUUUCUAGGAUCUGAAAUAAAGACGGGAGUGCACGCCUAA